UACGUAGGGUGCAAGCGUUGUCCGGAUUUAUUGGGCGUAAAGAGCUCGUAGGCGGCUUGUCGCGUCGACCGUGAAAACUCGCAGCUCAACUGCGAGCCUGCGGUCGAUACGGGCAGGCUAGAGUUCGGUAGGGGAGACUGGAAUUCCUGGUGUAGCGGUGAAAUGCGCAGAUAUCAGGAGGAACACCGGUGGCGAAGGCGGGUCUCUGGGCCGAUACUGACGCUGAGGAGCGAAAGCGUGGGGAGCGAACAGG
rnacentral:rRNA from 1 species